UACGUAGGGUGCGAGCGUUGUCCGGGAUUAUUGGGCGUAAAGCGCUCGUAGGCGGUGUGUCGCGUCGGCCGUGAAAACCUGCAGCUUAACUGUGGGCUUGCGGUCGAUACGGGCAUCACUGGAGUUCGGCAGGGGAGACUGGAAUUCCUGGUGUAGCGGUGAAAUGCGCAGAUAUCAGGAGGAACACCGGUGGCGAAGGCGGGUCGCGGGGCCGAUACUGACGCUGAGGAGCGAAAGCGUGGGGAGCGAACAGG
rnacentral:rRNA from 1 species